rnacentral:lncRNA from 1 species
GUCUGCUGGGAGCAUUUGCACCAGGGUGUGUCAGUGUCUGGGAAAGCAAACUGGGGGGUGGAGGGACACAGCUGGGGCUGCUUACAGCUUCAGGGUACCUGCAGCCCUCUGCAGUGUGAGCUGGGCUACAGAAUCCUCGGGGGCAGGGGUGGUUCUGCAGCCAGGUCAGCUGCAGCCCUGGCAUGUGGCCCAGCUUGCAGUGCUGGCUAUUUGUGGGCCCAACGUGCUGGGAUGUCCUGUGGUGUCUCUGUGAAGUUUGUGAACGCUCCGUGCUGGGUACAGGGUGUACAGUGGCUGAGUGAGGAGUUGUGUGAAGCUUGGCUGGCAGAUAGGGCCUGGUAGGGCCAGAUCUUAGAGCCAUAUAAUAUCCCGAGUGGGAAGGGGCCCACAGGGAUCACUGAGUCCAACUCCAGGAUCCACAUAGGACUAUCCCAAAUUCAAACCCAAUGUCUGGGAGCACUGUCCAAAUGCUCCCUGAGCUCCGGCAUUCGGGGCCGUCCCACUGCCCUGGGCAGGCUGUUCCAUGCCCACCGCCCUCUGGUGCAGACCCCUUCCCUCACCCCCAGCUGCCCCUCCCCUGACGCAGCUCCAUGCCGUUCCCUCGGGCCCUGUCGCUGUCACACAGAGCAGAGCUCAGCGCUGCCCCUCCGCUCCCUGUGAGGCGCUGCAGCUGCCGUGAGGCCUCCCCUCAUGUCUCCCCAGACUCUGCUCUGGGCUGAACACACCACGGACCUCAGCUGCUCCUCAUUUCAUCCUAACCUUUUGUACCUGUGCUUAAGAUUGCCCCAACACAGGUGCAGCACCUUACACUUGGCCUGGCUGAACUUCGUGAGGUUGGCAUGGGCCCACCUCUCCAGCCUGUCCAGGUUCCUCUGGAUGACAUCCCUUCCCUCUAGUGUGUCAUCUACACCACUCAGCUUGGUGUCAUCUGCAAACUUGAGGGUGCAUUCGAUCCCACUGUCCAUGUUGCCUUCAAUGAUGUUAAAUAACUCUAAUCCCAACACUGAUCCCUGAGGAAUGUCACUCGUCACCAGACUCCAUGUGGACAUUGAGCCAUUGACUGCAACUCUCUGAGUGCGACCAUCCAGCCAGUUCCUUAUCCACUUGGGUCAGUGCAGGUGAAUACAGUGUGCACACUGACAGACACCUGCUUCCCUCAGUAAACUGCAGAGGAUCCCACAGACAUGGCUGCGCUGUGUACUCACCAGGGCACUGUCAGAACAUUGCCAGGAAAUCUGCAAAAAGUAAAUUUCAGGAGAGAACUGAAGGCCUUUGAGAAGGGUCUGGAGCCUCAUGCCAUCAGUCGUAUCUGGAGAGAGCUUCACGAAUCUCUGUUUCUUCUCAAGAUCUGGCAUAAGUGUAAGUGCAGGCUAUAAUUAGCUUUGUAGGCAUAAACCGUAAGCUCACAACACAACCAAUUUCCCUAAUGCUUGUCAUGCUUGUCUAGAAUGGCAGUGAGUGGCCAUUCAUUGAGCUGGCAUUAGAAUCACAGAAUCAUUAAAGUUGGAAAAGACUACUAAGAUCACCUAGACCAACAGUCAACCCAUCCCCACCAUGCUCACUAACCACGUCCCUCAGUGCCACAUCUCUGUGUUUCUUGAAUGCCUCCCAGGAUGGUGACUCCAUCACCUCCCUGGGAAGCCUGUGCCAAUGCCUCGCCACUCUUUUGGAGAAGAAAUAUUUCCUGAUAUCCAACCUGAACCUCCCCUGGUGCAACCUGAAGCCAUUACCUUUUGUCCUAUCACUGUUACCUGGGAGAAGAAGCCAACCCCCACCUCACCACCACCUCCUUUCAGGGAGCUGUAGGGGGUGAUAAGGUCUCCCCUGAGCCUCCUCUUCUCCAGACCAAACAAUCCCAGCUCCCUCAGCUGCUCCCCAUAAGAUUUGUGCUCCAGACCACUUACAUCUCUGCUGCCCUUGUCUGGACAUGCUCCAGGGCCUCAGUGUCUUUUUGAGGGGCCCGAAGCUGAACACAGUACUCAAGGUACAUCCUCCCCAGAGGGAAUAAUCUCAAUAUCCCCUCGUGUUUGCUGAUAUUUCAAGGUGACAGAAUUGGCUGAAGUGAGCCAUGAAGGGCUAAACUGAGCCACUGGGAUCGCUACAGGAGGAAUCAGAGGCAGUGCACGUGGACACCACUCCAGCAGCAGCCCAGAAUGGGAACUGGGACCCAGAGGAGCAGCUGCUUCUCUGCUCAUUUCCUGCUUUUCGAGAAAGUGCUCUCAGUAGUUCUGGAAAGAAUGCAAAAUAACAUCUUGCAUCCUCCAGCUACCUCAACCUGCUUGAAACUCCCUCAGCUGGGUGAUAAAGGCUGUUUCUCUGCCUUCGUUCGACUAACAUCCUUAAACCUCUGCAACCUACUUCUACUCCCAGCCUGUGUCACUACUCCAUCCAGAUGGCAAUAAAAUCUUUUAGGGUGGAAAAAUUGUGUGCUACCAAAGCAAACGUCUGCCCAUGCUCCCUGCAAUCACAGUGCUGCCUCUGGAACUCAUGUCCCCUUCCUCCCUCUGUGAUGUUUUCCUCAUUCAGCAGUCAGGAAAGACCUGUCCUGCUCAGGUUCCACGUCCUUCACCUCUGCAUGCCAGGUGGGGGCAGCAGCCUUCAAACAAGCAGAUGGUGCUCACCUUCCUAUGGAUAUGAGUGGGAAGGAGGGAAGUAGGGCUCUGGACCUCUUGAAUGAGUUCUGAGAUAUAUGUGCUAUAGAGAGGUCUGACCUCAAGCAGGGUAGGUACAAGCUUGUUGGCUGUGCUUUUCAGCCCUGCAGAUGUUACAUCUUUCCCAAAGCAGGACAGAAAAAGCAGGGAGGAAUGAAUGAUGAAAUCCUUUAGUAAAAAAUGUUGUUUCUCUGUCCCCUCAGCCAUUCCCAUCUUAUUUGAGGUUAUUACUGCAACAUUAUUUAUGCUUCAAUCACAGGAAUUUUUUCAUGGUCAUGAAUAGCUUUGUGAACCUAAGAAAAGACACAGAAGGAGCCAUUUUUUCUCUGUUUGAAGUCCUAAUGCACUUGAAGUUUCUGUAAUAAAACUGUCAGUCCAUAAAGUUGGGCUGCUAAGACCACAGAUAAAAUGUAGUUAUUCUAAAGCAACUGAGCUCCUUUGAAAAGCAAUGAUAGUUUCGAGGAACUCGGCGCUAUUGAAAAGGCUUUCAGUUUAAGCCUGAACUUUCCAGAGGAAUAAUGAACAGUAAAUUUCACUGACUUAAUUUUCAAAUGCCCAUGUUGAAAUAGCCUUAGGACUCUGAUCACUCCUGCUGCCAGCUCUUAGACAUCCCGGCAGUGAAAUUCAACAGCCUCAGUCACAGAUGCUGAAUCACUGCAUGUUGCAGGUCUGUGUUUCCCAGCAAAAUGGCCGUGAUUUUAGGUUAUCCUGCAAAGCUGGUUUGAUAAACAGCAUCGUCCUUCAGCAGGACUCUGGAUGUCCAGUACUGUGAGCAGUUGUAAACGAAAGAAGCAGCGCUCCCAUGAUGACUUUUAGCUCUUUAGAUAGCAGGAUUAAGCAGGUAGAUGUGGCUUUAGACAUCCAUGUUUGGACCUCAUGUCAAAGACAAAAGCAUUAUAAAAAUGGAUUUGAUGGGACUGCAUGGCUGCCCAUCAUUACCAGCACACUUUUGGUUUCUCUCUGCUGGACUGAGCUUUAAACGUACAUCAAAAAGAAUCGAGAAGUUGAAAUAAGCCACUUUCAACUCUCAAAAGAACCAUUUUUAAACACAGAAGCAUUCGGAGAACAAAACCUCCUUUUCAGCACUCCUGGCUCAUUCCUGGGGGCCAUUUCUUACAGUUCUGCUAAAUCAGUUGAGAAAGUCACCAAAGCGUAGCAACAUUGCAGUGUUCCUAUGAAAAAAAAAGGCACCAAAGAUCCUUGAGAAAACCCCAAACAGCGCAUAAAGCAAGAACAAAUGUUUUCUAUAUGUGGUAUUGUUAAAACUCCCAAGUGGCAUAAAUAUAAUAAACAAUAGUGAAGAAUGGGAUAUUUCUGUUUGUUUCCACACACUUGAGAUGACCUAACCUACCUCAGGCAUGGCUCCACUUUGUGACUUGUGAGUUAUUUGAUCGCUCCAAACUUGUGAAAAUAAACACUAUUAUUCUACUGUUUGACAUUGUGCAUUCUUUUGUUCUCUGCAAAUAGACUGAGAACUAUCAAAUGAAAGUAAAUCAUAAUGAAACGCAAAUCAAAAUAAAAGCUGCAG